UGCCAGCCGCCGCGGUAACACGGGGGGCGCAAGCGUUAUUCGGAAUUAUUGGGCGUAAAGGGCGCGCAGGCGGUCUUGUCCGUCAGGUGUGAAAUCCCGGGGCCCAACCCCGGAACUGCACCCGAUACUGCGGAGCUAGAGUCCCGGAGAGGAUGGCGGAAUUUCCGGUGUAGAGGUGAAAUUCGUAGAUAUCGGAAGGAACACCAGUGGCGAAGGCGGCCAUCUGGACGGUGACUGACGCUGAGACGCGAAAGCGUGGGGAGCAAACAGGAUUAGAUAC
rnacentral:rRNA from 1 species